UGAAAGGAAAUAAAUUUCAGAAAUACCCUUCAUGAGUUAAAGAAAUCAUGAAGUUGUAGCUAGUAUGUUAUAGUUGGGUACAAAUCCUAAAAUAAAUCUAGAUUAAGGCUUGUAGAAUAACAGUUUUGAUAACAAAUAAUUUCUGCAUCCUUAUGUGGUUUGUUCUUAGUAGCUUCAUUUUAUAGUGCUAUAUUUUAUUUAUAUGUAUUUUUUGUAUUUCAAAAUAUAGUGCUAAUUUUAUUUCAGAAAUACUAAAAAUAUAUUUCUGUUGUAGGCCUCAUACUUAUAGCUUGCAUUAGGAACUGGUUUUUGAAGAUGGAUACACACAUUCAUAUUCUCUUUACAAUUAUCAGCUUUCCAAAUUUCUACGGAUAUGAAGAUUUACACCUAGUCAUCAGUGGGACCCCAUGAAGUCAGCCAGAAAGCCUAUAUCCACUUACGUAUCUUUGUAAAAUUUGCUGGAUUUUGAAAAACCUAAAUCAGAAAGGAAAUAAGGAGAAACAUGGGAGAAAAUAAUUUGGACAAAAAUUAAGAAAGUGAAUAACACUGUGCAAUUAGGACUAGAACGUAGUUGAAGCUCGUGUGUCUGGAUAUGACUUGGGAACGAAACACUAAAGUUCAGGUAGUAAAACAUUACCAAGAUUACAGCAUUUUUUUGUUUUGUUUAUUAAAAUUCAUAUUCAAGUUGAUCCUUGAGCAGUUAUAAAUAAUAGACAAUGAAAACUACACAUAUUAUGUAUAGAUGCUAAAAGUAAAAAAGCAUAGCUUAUGUUUUUUCCAUUUUGAUUGAUCUGAAGUAGUCUUACAGUUAAGAGCCUUGGUUUUAACACCAGGAU
rnacentral:lncRNA from 1 species